rnacentral:rRNA from 1 species
GCUGGCGGCGUGCCUAACAGCGAAGCGACGAGGUCCUUCGGGACCGAAGUAGCGGCGGACGGGUGAGUAACGCGUGAGCAAUCUGCCUUACACAAAGGGAUAGCCUCGGGAAACUGGGAUUAAUACCAUAUGACACUUAAUAAUCGCAUGGUUAUUGAGUCAAAGAUUUAUCGGUGUAAGAUGAGCUCGCGUCUGAUUAGCUAGUUGGUGGGGUAAAGGCCUACCAAGGCGACGAUCAGUAGCCGGCCUGAGAGGGUGAACGGCCACACUGGAACUGAGACACGGUCCAGACUCCUACGGGAGGCAGCAGUGGGGAAUAUUGCACAAUGGGCGCAAGCCUGAUGCAGCGACGCCGCGUGAGCGAAGAAGGUUUUCGGAUCGUAAAGCUCUGUCCUCUGGGAAGAAAAAAUGACGGUACCAGAGGAGGAAGCCCCGGCUAACUACGUGCCAGCAGCCGCGGUAAUACGUAGGGGGCUAGCGUUGUCCGGAUUUACUGGGCGUAAAGGGUGAGUAGGCGGUAAUGUGUGUCAGAUGUUUAAUCUAUGAGCUCAACUCAUAUCAGCAUUUGAAACUACAUAACUUGAGUGCAGGAGAGGUAAGUGGAAUUCCUAGUGUAGCGGUGGAAUGCGUAGAUAUUAGGAGGAACACCGGUGGCGAAGGCGACUUACUGGACUGUAACUGACGCUGAGACACGAAAGCGUGGGGAGCGAACAGGAUUAGAUACCCUGGUAGUCCACGCCGUAAACGAUGAGUGCUAGGUGUUGGCUGAGAAGUCAGUGCCGAAGUAAACGCAAUAAGCACUCCGCCUGGGGAGUACGGUCGCAAGACUGAAACUCAAAGGAAUUGACGGGGACCCGCACAAGCAGCGGAGCAUGUGGUUUAAUUCGACGCAACGCGAAGAACCUUACCAAGGCUUGACAUCCCCUUGACAGAUGCAGAGAUGUGUCCUCUCCUUCGGGAGCAAGGGAGACAGGUGGUGCAUGGUUGUCGUCAGCUCG